rnacentral:rRNA from 1 species
AUUGAACGCUGGCGGCAGGCCUAACACAUGCAAGUCGAACGAGUGGCGGACGGGUGAGUAAUGUCUGGGAAACUGCCUGAUGGAGGGGGAUAACUACUGGAAACGGUAGCUAAUACCGCAUACCAUCAGAUGUGCCCAGAUGGGAUUAGCGAGUGGGGGGGGUAACGGCUAACCAAGGCGACGAUCCCUAGCUGGUCUGAGAGGAUGACCAGCCACACUGGAACUGAGACACGGUCCAUACUCUUACGGGAGGAGGCAGUGGGGAAUAUUGCACAAUGGGCGCAAGCCUGUUGCAGCCAUGCCGCGAGUGUGAAGAAGGCCUUCGGGUUGUAAAGUACUGUCAGCGGAGAGGCGUUACCCGCAGAAGAAGCACCGGCUAACUCCGUGCCAGCCGCCGCGGUAAUUC